rnacentral:sRNA from 2 species
UGUAUCGGAAGCCUGACGAGGAUGAGAACCUCCGGGGGCAAGAGGUUCGACCCGAGCGAAGCGAGAGAACGUUGCGUCAGCAACGGCCCGCAGGGCGAGUCAUCCUCUAUCACCGGCAG